GGGUUGUGAGGUUAAGCGACUAAGCGUACACGGUGGAUGCCCUGGCAGUCAGAGGCGAUGAAGGACGUGCUAAUCUGCGAAAAGCGCCGGUGAGGUGAUAUGAACCGUUAUAACCGGCGAUGUCCGAAUGGGGAAACCCAGUGUGACUCGUCACACUAUCAUUAACUGAAUCCAUAGGUUAAUGAGGCGAACCGGGAGAACUGAAACAUCUAAGUACCCCGAGGAAAAGAAAUCAACCGAGAUUCCCCAAGUAGCGGCGAGCGAACGGGGAAGAGCCCAGAGUCUGAAUCAGCAGGUGUGUUAGUGGAACGGUCCGGAAUGGCCGGCGAUACAGGGUGAAAGCCCCGUACACGAAAGCGCACCCGUUGUGAGCUCGAUGAGUAGGGCGGGACACGUGGUAUCCUGUCUGAAUAUGGGGGGACCAUCCUCCAAGGCUAAAUACUCCUGACUGACCGAUAGUGAACCAGUACCGUGAGGGAAAGGCGAAAAGAACCCCGGCGAGGGGAGUGAAAAAGAACCUGAAACCGUGUACGUACAAGCAGUGGGAGCC
rnacentral:rRNA from 1 species